GACGAACCGAGCGAACGUUGUUCGGAAUAACUGGGCUUAAAGGGCGCGUAGGCGGGCCGCCAAGUUCGAGGUGAAAUCCUCCGGCUCAACCGGAGAACUGCCUCGAAUACUGGAGGCCUCGAGGCGGGUAGGGGCAUGCGGAACUGUGGGUGGAGCGGUGAAAUGCGUUGAUAUCAUCAGGAACACCGGAGGCGAAAGCGGCGCGCUGGACCCCUUCUGACGCUGAGGCGCGAAAGCCAGGGGAGCAAACGGG
rnacentral:rRNA from 1 species